UUCUUAUCCAGAGAGGUGGAGGGACUUGGCCCUAAGAAACCUCGGCAGCGGACCCGUUUAGGGAACUGUGCUAAAUCCAACAAGCAUAUGCUUGGAAGAUAAGAA
rfam:Bacillus sp. FJAT-22058 super1, whole genome shotgun sequence.